GAUGAACGCUGGCGGCGUGCCUAAUACAUGCAAGUCGAGCGAACAGAUGAGGAGCUUGCUCCUCUGACGUUAGCGGCGGACGGGUGAGUAACACGUGGAUAACCUACCUAUAAGACUGGGAUAACUUCGGGAAACCGGAGCUAAUACCGGAUAAUAUAUUGAACCGCAUGGUUCAAUAGUGAAAGACGGUUUUGCUGUCACUUAUAGAUGGAUCCGCGCCGCAUUAGCUAGUUGGUAAGGUAACGGCUUACCAAGGCGACGAUGCGUAGCCGACCUGAGAGGGUGAUCGGCCACACUGGAACGGAGACGCGGUCCAGACUCCUACGGGAGGCAGCAGUAGGGAAUCUUCCGCAAUGGGCGAAAGCCUGACGGAGCAACGCCGCGUGAGUGAUGAAGGUCUUCGGAUCGUAAAACUCUGUUAUUAGGGAAGAACAAAUGUGUAAGUAACUAUGCACGUCUUGACGGUACCUAAUCAGAAAGCCACGGCUAACUACGUG
rnacentral:rRNA from 1 species